rnacentral:rRNA from 1 species
UACGUAGGGGGCAAGCGUUGUCCGGAAUCAUUGGGCGUAAAGCGCGUGUAGGCGGCCCGAUAAGUCCGCUGUGAAAGUCCAGGGCUCAACCCUGGAAUGCCGGUGGAUACUGUCGGGCUCGAGUCCGGAAGAGGCGAGUGGAAUUCCUGGUGUAGCGGUGAAAUGCGCAGAGUAUCAGGAAGAACACCCGUGGCGAAGGCGGCUCUCUGGGACGGUACUGACGCUGAGACGCGAAAGCGUGGGGAGCAAACAGG